GAGUACACGUGGCCUGACUCCUACGGUCAGGCAGCAGUGGGGAAUAUUGCACAAUGGGCGCAAGCCUGAUCCACACAUGCCGCGUGUGUGAAGAAGGCUCUAGGGUUGUAAAGCACUUUCAGUAGGGAGGAAGGCCUUAAAGUUAAUACCUCUGAGGAUUGACGUUACCUACAGAAGAAGCACCGGCUAACUCCGUGCCAGCAGCCGCGGUAAUACGGAGGGUGCGAGCGUUAAUCGGAAUUCUCUGGGCGUUAAGCGCGCGUAGGCGGUUAGUUAAACUGGAUGUGAAAGCCCCGGGCUCAACCUGGGAACUGCAUUCAGAACUGGCUGGUCUAGAUGUCACGCUGAGAGGUGUAUGUGGAAUUUCCUGUGUACGCGGUGAAAUGGGUAGAUAUAGGAAGGAACAUCAGUGGCGAAAGGCAGUACUGACCUGGCUCGUCUACUGAACGCUG
rnacentral:rRNA from 1 species